rnacentral:RNase_P_RNA from 1 species
UGGGAUGUACGAUCUAUCGCUCCGCCCUGUGGCGGUGAGGAAAGUCCGGACAACGUAGAGUACCGUACCAUCUAACAGGUGGGUUCCGAAGCAAUUCGGAAACAGAAAGUGUCACAGAAACUAAACUACCUCUUUUCAUUCUUUUGAAUGUCAUGGGGAAAAGCUGAAACUGUGAGGUAAGAGCUCACAUGAUACCUGGGUAACCAGAUAUCAGGAUAAACCUUACGGGUUGAAAUGUCAUGUAUACUCCGAUCUCUUUGAGAUAGGGUUACUCGCCCAAAGAUGCUGUAUGCAUUUACAGUUGAGUCGGGGAGGGUAGACAGCUUAGAUAAAUGAUAGAUGUUCCCGAUUUUAUUGGGAAAACAGAAUCCGGCUUACAGUGCAUCUUAUAUU